rnacentral:rRNA from 1 species
GACGAACGCUGGCGGCGCGCUUAACACAUGCAAGUCGAGCGAUAACCAUGGCUUCGGCCAUGGGGAGAGCGGCGAACGGGUGAGUAACACGUGAGCGAUCUGCCCUCGACACUGGGAUAGCCCGGGGAAACCCGGAUUAAUACCGGAUAGCCUCUCGGGCCCACGGGCUCGUGAGAAAAGAUGGCUUCGGCUUUCGGUCGAGGAGGAGCUUGCGGCGGAUUAGCUUGUUGGGGGGGUAACGGCGCACCAAGGCGACGAUCCGUAGCCGGUCUGAGAGGACGAACAGCCACGCUGGGACUGAGACACGGCCCGCACGCCCACGGGGGGGAGCAGUGGGGAAUCUUGCGCAAGGGGCGAAAGCCUGACGCAGCGACGCCGCGUGAGGGAAGAAGGCCUUCGGGUUGUAAACCUCUUUCAGGAGGGACGAAGCUACUCGGGUUAAUAGCCCAGAGGGUGACGGUACCUCCAGAAGAAGCCCCGGCUAACUACGUGCCAGCAGCCGCGGUAAGAC